GCAAAACAAAACUGCCUCAGGGAUUUCCUUCAGAAAAUAAUUGGAAAGGGAUUGGAAAAAUGCAAUUUUACUUUUUAUGAAAUCUUGAUUAUGAAACAGCUUUAGAAUUGGAACAUGGUUACCAUCAUCUUGUCAAUCAUCCCUCCCAAAAAACCUUUUUUUUUAAUUUCUACUUCAGUUACUCAAGAUAGAAGGCCUUUGCAGGGAUAAACAUGAAAAAAUAUGUCAAUACUACAUUAUCCUAUGAGGAGGAAAAUCAGAAUAAAAGAAAAUAAAGGCAUGCUAGAUGCCAU